UACAGAGGUCCCAAGCGUUGUUCGGAUUCAUUGGGCGUAAAGGGUGCGUAGGCGGCGCGGUAAGUCGGGUGUGAAAUCUCGGAGCUUAACUCCGAAACUGCAUUCGAUACUGCCGUGCUUGAGGACUUGGAGAGGAGACUGGAAUUUACGGUGUAGCGGUGAAAUGCGUAGAUAUCGUAAGGAAGACCAGUGGCGAAGGCGGGGUCUCUGGACAGUUCCUGACGCUGGAGGCACGAAGGCCAGGGGAGCAAACGGG
rnacentral:rRNA from 1 species